rnacentral:rRNA from 1 species
GACGAACGCUGGCGGCGUGCCUAAUACAUGCAAGUAGAACGCUGAAGGAGGAGCUUGCUUCUCCGGAUGAGUUGCGAACGGGUGAGUAACGCGUAGGUAACCUGCCUGGUAGCGGGGGAUAACUAUUGGAAACGAUAGCUAAUACCGCAUAAGAGUAGAUGUUGCAUGACAUUUGCUUAAAAGGUGCAAUUGCAUCACUACCAGAUGGACCUGCGUUGUAUUAGCUAGUUGGUGGGGUAACGGCUCACCAAGGCGACGAUACAUAGCCGACCUGAGAGGGUGAUCGGCCACACUGGGACUGAGACACGGCCCAGACUCCUACGGGAGGCAGCAGUAGGGAAUCUUCGGCAAUGGACGGAAGUCUGACCGAGCAACGCCGCGUGAGUGAAGAAGGUUUUCGGAUCGUAAAGCUCUGUUGUAAGAGAAGAACGAGUGUGAGAGUGGAAAGUUCACACUGUGACGGUAUCUUACCAGAAAGGGACGGCUAACUACGUGCCAGCAGCCGCGGUAAUACGUAGGUCCCGAGCGUUGUCCGGAUUUAUUGGGCUAAAGCGAGCGCAGGGGGUUAGAUAAGUCUGAAGUUUAAGGCUG